rnacentral:lncRNA from 1 species
UAGAGAUCGCUAAGCCCCUCGGUUUCCCCUCCUCGAGCCGAAAGGAUCAUGUGAUGGUGUUUACGUAAGAGGGAUACCAUCGGGCCAAAGGGGUGUGCGGGCUAGCAGACAGGCAUGCUGCUAGACCCCUGUGGCCAGUCGGGUUGGUGGGCUGCCACUGAGGCAGUCCGCCCUAGUCCCCUUAUGGGACUAGCAUGAUGUGGGGUGUCAAUCAUGCGUGCGGGUGGCCGAUACUGAUGCUAAGGGCUUAAGCCCUAAGAACCGAGUCUCGUGGGAUGAAAUGAACCUAGAGGCUCCUAGCUGGUCGCCGACCAGCUUAAGUGGGUUCCUCCCCAUAGAGUUCGAAAUGAGCGACCCUACGGGAUCAGGGCCAGAAAGGGCUCAUGGGCAUGCGGUUUGUAGGACUGGAAUUGGUCCGUCCAUGAAAAAAUGGAUACGAUACAAGGCUGACCUUGACUAGGAUUAGUCUUGGUGCCGCACGGACGCGUGGUUUCAGUAGCAGGAACGCGCGGCCCGUGAGACUCAAGCUCCGAACCCGCGCGGCUCCGGGACCCGAGCAUUCACCCUUCCGACGUCCCAGAUCAGCCUUCUCGCCACGGUUCACACCCUUGUGAGGUAUUGUCCGCUCUGGCCCCCUUGGCCUCACGGUUUUGUCCUACAAAAGGCGCCUCGCAAGGCGGAGAUGGUGUGAACCUUUUUAUACCCCAGGGACCCUCCUAUUAUGUUCGAUGUGGGAUUCAGGACUCCCCCUUAGGUCCGUGACAUUCUCCCUUGUCACGGGUCGAGACUCAAGCUCCGAACCCGCGCGGCUCCGGGACCCGGGCAUUCACCCUUCCGGUGUCCCGGAUCAGUCCUGACCGCCAUUGGUUCACACCCUUUGUGAGGUAUUGUCCGCUCUGGCCCCCUGGCCUCACGGUUUUGUCCUACAAAGGCGCCUACAAGACGGAGAUGGUGUAAACCCUUUUAUACCCCAGACUUCUAUUAUGUUCGAUGAUUCAGGACUCACCCUUAGGUCGUAAUUCUCCUCACCCAACUCUGAGGCCUCGUCAACAGGCCGGCACCCUUCUACUCCCUCGCUCCUCCUGAUCGACGUUUACUGGCUCUGAUACCACUUGUCACGUCGAGACUCAAGCUUCGAACGCGCGGCUCCGGGACCCGGCAUUCACCUGUUCCGCGUCCAGAUUCAGCCUUUUCGCACGGUUCACACCCUGUGAGGUAUUGUCCGCUCUAGCCCUGGCCUCACGGUUUUGUCUUACAAAAGGCGCCUCACAAGACGGAGAUGGUGUGAACCCUUUUAUACCCCAGUGACCCUCCUAUUAUGUUUCGAUGUGGGAUUCAGGACUCCCCCUUAGGUUCGUGACAUUCUCCCGCACCCAACCUCGUGACGCCCUCGUCACGGAGGCCGGCCACCCUGCCUACCUCCCUCGAGGCGCUCGGCGUGGAUCGAACGGUUUAGGGCUGGCUCUGAUACCACUUGUCACGGGUCGAGACUCAAGCUCCGAACCCGCGCGGCUCCGGGACCCGGGCAUUCACCCUUCCGGUGUCCCGGAUCAGCCUGACCGUCAUGGUUCACACCCUUGUGAGGUAUUGUCCGCUCUGGCCCCCGUGGCCUCACGGUUUUGUCCUACAAAAGGCGCCUCACAAGACGGAGAUGGUGUGAACCCUUUUAUACCCCAGGGACCUUCCUAUUAUGUUCGAUGUGGGAUUCAGGACUCCCCCUUAGGUCCGUGACAUUCUCCCGCACCCAACCUCGUGACGCCCUCGUCACGGAGGCCGGCCACCCUGCCUACCUCCCUCGAGGCGCUCGGCGUGGAUCGAACGGUUUAGGGCUGGCUCUGAUACCACGUGUCACGGACUAAGCUUUCUCUCAACAAGCACUAGCCCGCGAGGCACUUGAAUGGACGCUUCCACCCAAGUCAGCCCUCAAUAGAUCGAGAUAUCGGGACCUCCCACCAUCACCAGGGCCAGGGGGGCAGCCCAUGGUGGGUGGCCUAAGCUCGCAUAGCACCCGGUGAGACAGCCCAACAAUACCCUGUCGGCUCACCCCCCCUAAAGAGCCUUAGAGAUUUUAGAGCUAUGCUACCAGUAACCGUUACAAUGUUUGAAAUGGGGACACUUUUCCUAACACAAGGGGUCUACCCGGCCAUGGCCCUAUACAUGGGUGGCUCAUGGCAACCUAAGUCCCGGUCAUGGCCUUAUACAAGGUUGGCUCAUGACAUCCUCCCCCACCUAUUCUAACGACGUCCUCGUCGACUUGCUGGCUUGAAAUUCUUCGAUCUUCCUUUGAAAUCUUGCUGGAGGUCGUGCUCUCUCUCCCAGCUGGUUUCUUCUAGGCCUAGUCCUCCCCACCUUUACUAAGUACUCCCGAAGUUAGUCUUCGAGAUUCUGUUUCCCUAUCAGCUAAGAUCUCUUGGACUCGACGCUCUGAAGGUGGUUUCAUGUGAUGGCGGCUCUGGUUGGCUCUCUUCGACUAGCAUCUGUAGGAUCUGCAUGGAAUGGCUUCCAAGUUGCUCACAUGAGAAUACUAGUGCACCUUCAUCCAAUUUGGAGGGUCGAUUUGGUAGGAAGCAUUCUCCACUUUGGAAAGGACCCUUACUGGACCUUCGUACUUGCGCACCAAUCUACGAUAAUUCCUAUAUAUCAUGAUAUUUCUGCAGGAACUGCAUAAUGGAAUGGUGCAAAUAGAAGCCUGAAUGCCCACUGUGCCGUAUUCCCAUAACUCAUUCAAGUCUAGUUUGUUUAUAUCAUUCAUACUUCUAGCUUGUGAUUACAAGCAUCGCUGAAGUGAACACUCAGGAAGAGUGAACAUAUUUAAAGUAACCCAUUUAUCUUCUAUUGUUCAGAAAUGGUAUAAAUUUUCAGUGAACAGUGUAGAAUUCUAUGCUGAGAAAGUUAACAAUAGUGGUCUUUACACCAUUGCUCAGGUUGGGUGCCUACGCUACAAGCUCCUUAGAAGCCUAGCUUUACCUCAGUUUUUUUUUUCAACAGUUUUGACCUUCUCUCUGUUAGUGCGAUUUCCUCUUUCCUUAGUAAGAUAUAUAUUUUUUUUUGUGUUCCCAAAGAACCCCUUUUUUUUUAGUUCACUUCUCUCCUUCUAGCUUUCCCCUUCUUUUCUCUUUUUUAAGACUCUCAUUUUCCCUUUUUUUUUUCGGCAACUUUCCCUUCUCUUUUAUGGUGAAUGGGAGCCUUGCUAACCGAGUCUUGUCAUUUGUCUUCUUCUCCCCACUUCCCUACAGCUACCUUGGCCGACCACUAACCAUGCUUUUAUUUACUGUAGGUUGGUCUUGUGCAAGUGUCGCCAACUUUUGUUUCGCUGGACUGUCUCCCACUUCUUGCUGAUCCUCUUCGUUUCUUUGUUGGCUUCUCUCUCCUUUUGUUUUUCAUGCCAAUAUUUUCACAUGACAGAAUGACCUCUUUGUUUUUUUAUUGGGCUCUUACCAUCUUUGUUCCUUGGGUCAAGUUAGAUUACCAAUUCGGGCUAAAAUAUUGUUGCAUUUUAUGGGCUCUUAAGUGAGCCAUCUUAUGGAUUUCAAAUGGACUCUAUUUAAAUUUCCUAAAAUUUUGCAUUAUGGGCUAUAUUUUUAGCUUCGUUUGGGUGGUUUUGAGCUUCAUUUCUGAAUUUCGUAAAAGGUAUCUAAAAGAGAUGUAUUAUGUGUAACACUUUGGGCUUUAAAUGGGUCAUGAAGGUGGGUCACCUAUCGGGUUUUCUUUUGGAUUGUGAAUGAACCCCUAAAAUAUCUACUUAAUGAGUUCAAAUUAAUGGUUUCAGCCUAAUUUAAAAACAGGUUUGGGUGAAUUAUGUUAAAAAGUUUCAGAUAAAAUUUGGUGUCUAUCAAUUAUUUUGAUAUAUUAUUUUAGAUUUUUUAAUUUAGUAUAAAUAUAUUUAUAAAUAUGUAUGAACUUGUACAUUAUAAUACUAUUAAUAAUCCAUAAAAUAAAUUUACAAUAUCUUUAAAAAUCAAAUAAAUAAGUUUAAAAGUAUAAGAAACAAUAUUAUAAAAUUUUUAUAAUAUUUUUAAACACUUAGUCUUAUCAUAUGAUAUUUAAAUAAAUAUUUUUUUCAUGUAAAUAUUAAGAUUAAAAUAAUAAGAUUAAAAAAAUUAACCAAGGCUUUAUGAUUGUUAAAUUUUAUAAAAGGAGCAUAAUUAAUUUCUUGAAAAAAAUUAAAAUGCUUAUAAAUUUUGAUUUGAAAAAAUAAAAUAUAAUAUUAUAAACUUUAAUUUGAAAAAAUAAAGUAUAAAAAACAAGUUAAAAUAAAAAAGUAAAGAAACUCAAUCUUCAAAAGUUAUUUUGUUAAUUAAUGUUUUAUUAGGUUAGAAAUAAUUAAACAACAAAAAAUAAAUUAAAAAUUACAAAAUAUAUUUCACAUUUACAUAUCAACUGAAACAUGUUAUUUCACAAAAAUUCAUUGAAAUCUGUUAAAAUUAAUAAAAAUUAUAAGUAUUACCCAAAUAUCAAAUUCGAUAUAAAAUAUCAUCUUUCAGUAUAUUGUAUUUUAAUAUAACUAAAAUAUAUAAACAUGUAUGAUUAGUACUGAAAUAAAAUUAAUAAUUAUAACUUAAUCAUAUAAUUUAUUUAUGAAGUUAACUCCUAAUAAUUUUUUAACACAAACUAAAUAGACAUACUUCUUAACAUAAAUUGAAAAUAAACACAGUUUUAAAUUUUUUAACACAAACUAAAAUUAAGAAAAGUUUUCUAUCAUUGAUUAAAUAAUCAAUUUUUCCUUUUAUUUUUUCCGCACCUAUUGUGUACAUGUGCAGGUGCGUCAGACCUUCGAAGCCUAAUAAGAUUUCUAGAAUGAGAAUUGCGACUUCGACUUUUUGUUUUGUCGAUUUGUGAAUGCUGAUGUCAUCUGUCGCGUGGGAAGCAUCCGCAAUUUUACCCCCACCGCCGCACGUUUCCUCUAUAAAUCAACGUGCUAUUUUUCCCUCCUCUCCCCACUAAACUCCCAUCAGUCAUCAGUCAUCCGAGCAGGAGUUCUGAGAAUCUGGGGUCGGAUUAUCACAGACCCAGGAUCUUUCCAUAUAAAUAAGUUAGGCACUUUUCCUUUUUAUAAUAUCAGAAGUUGUCCAGGCGAAGGAGAAUAUGUCGAGAUCCGUUAAAUGGGCUAUAGUUAUUUCAUUUGUCCUGAUCCUGUUGUUUGGAUCAUGGGCAACUCAUCUAGAGGCAAGGGACCUCUCUUAUGGCAGACUGAAAGGUCCUCCGGCUCCUACAUGCAGUGGGGUUUAUUGCCCUCCAAAAGAACCCGUCAACAACCAGGAUAGGGGCUGUAAUAAAGGCGAUUACUGCCGCGGUACUGAUAAGCGGAACUGAAUCCAAUCUUGAAGAAUAUAUCAUCAAAUUUCAGAUGUUAGAUUUGGCCGUUGUUGGUGGACAUUUGUGAUUUUUGUCCUCUCGGCCAAACUGUGUACUUUUUCAAUUUUAUUUAAUGAAUGGUGCUUUUUUUUGUUGAAAUUAUUUUUUUUAACACUCUAUGGUAUGUUGCCACUUGAUUUGCUUUAUUAAAAGCUGUAAUUUUUGUUGUAAAUUUCUAGUGUUGACAACAGCAAAAUAAUGCCAGCAAAUCUAGCAAGUACAUUAAUAUUUGAAUCUGUUUUAGUUUAGUUCGAUACGUGUAGUGUGUGUUCUGCAGGUACAAGUUUGUUUUUAUGUAAAAAUGAUUGCGUUUGUAUAGUGUUUGAUAAUAGAUUGAAUUUCUAGCACACUAUAGCUAAGUGUGUCUUCUGUUUUGAAUUAAUACUGAAUAUAUGUUUCUGUUCAUUUCAGCUCCAAAAUCCCUCUCUCCGGAAGAAUUUGGUUGUUUCUCCAACUGAAGUCGUCAAUCACAAUUUAUUAUUUCAGCCGAACUUGUUGAGGUUAAUUUUGUCUGUUUGACAAGGGAAAUAUAUUUUAUAUCCGUUUCAACCAUGGCUGUUCUCUUUGGUCAAAAAGAAAACCAGCCUUCACCGAUGUCGACCGCAUCAAAAUCAUACUUGUUCUCUCCUUAAUCUUUUUUUCUCGCUUCAUUACAUGUGCCUUUUAUGAUUACCUAAAAAUGAUUAAGCACAUUUACCACUAAAAUAAAAUAUUGAGAUUCCUUUCACUGUCAUCAUUGAUUAAAUUUAGUAGUAGUUGAGUCGGUACUGCAUACAUGAAUAUUCCAUUAGGCUCAUAUCAAACAAGACUAUGGACCAUAAAUCAGCACAUAAAACAAGUUUCCAAAAUUUUUAAGAAAUGUAUUAAGAAUUCUUACUUCUUGCACAUAAGCAUUUAGUUCAAUAAAAGAUAUAUAUAUAUAUAUAUAUAUAUCAAUUUCUUUAACGAGUUUAAAUUUCUCUUUUUAGAAAAAUCAAAAAAAAGAAAAAAAAAAAGAAUUCUCAAUUCUUACUCAUAAGGUAACUAAUGAGCCGUGUAGGCAUUUUUGGUCGAUUAUCUCCGCUGCUAUAAAUGGUAUAAUGUAAUUUGGUUUGUUUAGGGUUUGAUCUCAAGUGUGUUUGAAUGGAUACGUUUGAGACUUGGAAUAUAAUUGUUUAUCAUUUUUCAAUGAACUCAAGGUAUUAAACAAUGAAAUAUCUCCUUUAGACUUUUUGGCAUAUUUUGUCGUUGUAUUUGUUUUUCUUUCAAUUUGCAAAAGCAGGAUUUGAGCUUGUAUCAUCUUGAACAUAUGCGAGGUGCCUCCAUGUUUGACGGGAAAGAAACAGUAUUUUAGUAGGUUAUUAUGCCAACACUCUGGAUGAUACAGACCACUUUUUAUAUAAAAUUCCAAGGUGUGUAUAUAUAUAUAUAUAUAUAUAUCAUAUUUUAUCAAUGACAAUAGAAAAUAAUAGAAGAUUAAAUUAAGUUGAAAAGCUUUGAUCAGCGAAAAGUCAAUAUGUAAUAACUUUUUUAGGAUGCAGUUAGUAAUAAUUAAAGUGUACAAGGUAUAAAUUUCCCACUAUAUUUACGUGAGUGGUCUAAAUUUAUAAUUAAUCUUUCAAUUGAUGAAAAUUUAUCAUUAUAUUUUUAAUUUUGGGGCGAAUUUAUCGUUAUAGUUCAAAUGUUAGAGUAAUUAAAGAAUAUUCGGUAAAAAAUUCUAUUGAAAACUUUUUAUAAUUAAAAUAGAAAUUCAAUUCUUAAAAAACUGAGAAAAAAAAGGCCAAGAUUAAUUGAAAAGUAUGAUAUGAUAUUAUAUGUUUAUAAAAUGUAAUGAUAAAAAAAAUGUAACAAAAAUACGAUUAUGUAGCAUUAUUAUAUUUAAUAGAAAGCAUAAUGAUAAAACAAGAAGAUAAAAAACAUAAAAGGGAAAAUUUGAAUUUUAGUUUUUUUUUUUUGUCAUAUGAUUUUGGGAUAAGGAUCAAAUUUAUCACUUUAUUAGAUUAAGGGUUUCGUGUUUAUCAUUCUAAUUUUUUAUACAAAUUUACCAAUCAUUCUAAUUUUUUAUACAAAUUUACCACUCUAUUAUAUUUUUUGAUGCAAUUUUAGUUAUUCAUGUUUAUCUAAACUAAAAAAUAUUAUGUUAAGGAUUUCAAUUAUCUUUUUAUUUUUAUUAUAUAAAAAAAGUUAAAAAAAUACUUUAUUUCAAAUUCUAAAUAAGAAUAAUACUAAUAAUUAACAAAUAAAAAUAAAUUAUUUUUAAAAAAUAACAAAAAUGCCAUUAAUUUUUUGACUAUAUAUUUUUAUAUUUUUUACCAUUUUUUCUAAAAAUAAUUAAUUAUGUGAUGUUACUAAAAUAAAUAAUUAUCUUUAACCUAGUUUUUUAGUUAAAAACGUAACUCUCAUAACGAUUUUGGAGAUUGUUAGACAAAUUAUUAAAUAUAAAAAGUUACUACCAAAAGUUUUUAUUAGAUGUGAUUGACCAUUUAAAAAAAUAUUUUUUUAAUAAAAUUUUAAAAUUAAUUAAAAUUUUAUUUAAAAGAUAAUUUUUGAGUCUAUGAAAACAUAUUGAGUUCAAAAAUACGAUUAUGCGUGAGAAAAGAUUAACAUCCUUACAACGUUUGUUCAAAAAUUGUAUUAAUUAAUUAUGUGUUAUCUUUUAUUCUUGACAAAAAUGUUUUGAUUUUGAUAUUUAGAAAUAAUUUUCUUAACUCCGUUUGUUUAUCAUAAUUUUGAUUUUUUAUAUUUUUAUUCACAAAAAAUUCUCUUUUAUUUUUUAUUUAAAAAUUAUUAUUUUAUUUUUAUCUAAAAAAUAAAUUGAAGUUUUGUUAUUAAAAAAUUCUUAAAAUGUUUCAAUACAUUAGUAAUAUUAGAAAAAAAUUUCUCACUUAAAUAUUUUUUAAGAAUUACUAUUCAAAUUUUUUUAAAAUUUUAUUUUCAAAGACUUUUUUUAAUUAAUUAAUUGAAUUAAUAUUAUGCAUUAUUAUAUGUAACAUUAUUAUUUUUUAAAAAAUCUUUUAUUUUAUUAUUUUUUAAUUAAAAAUAAAUAAAUGAAAAUUUUUUAUUGAAUAUUUUUAAAUACUUCAGUACUUUGAUAAUAUUUUAAAAAAAUAUUUUCACCUAAAAUUUUUUUUAAAAAAUCACCAUUUAAAAUUUUUUAAUAUCUUAUUAUCAAAGAAAUUUCAUUUUUUUUUAUUUGAAAAGAUUUUUUAGUAUGUUUUAAACUCUAUUUAUUUAAAAAUUAAAAUUUAAAUAUGUAUAAAUAAACACAUAAGUAAUUUAGCAAAUACUUGAAAAAAUUAAAAAUUAAAAAAUUACCUAAAAAAAUUCAAUUAAAGUCGAUUAAAGUCAAUUAAUGGCUCGGAGCGAAGCAAUUCAUUAUUGAUUCGAAGCGAUUUAGUCAAUCCAACUAAUGGUUUUUAAGCAAAUUGAAUCUAACUAGUUUAGUCAAUCUAAUUUAAGACUAGUCCUCAGUAGCCAGAUAUGGGUCAGGCACGUCGACCUUGGACAAGGUCAGAUCCACGGGCAGUAGGCCAUUUUUUUUCUUUUCUAUACGAGUCAAAUUUUUUUCAUAAAAUCAUUUCAUUCUUUCUUGUAAAGAAAAAAACUUCAAACAUUCUCUCAAAACCAAGAACAUCGGCCACCCAGUUUCCAUAAUUUGACCAUAAGCAGUCACUCUGGUCAUCGCUUUUCACCUUUAUUUAACCUUAAAAUUUCAACCCACACUAAUCUCAACCUUUUGAACAUGACUCUAAUUUUAGUUUUUUUUUUCAAAAACAAGCCCUAGAAACCUAGAUCUAACCUCAAGAUUUGGUUGAACAUUUUUUUAUUUUUAAUUUUUUGGCUUCAUUUUCUUUUUUUUUUGACACUGUGGUUUCCUUUUUCAAGGAAUAUGGCUUUUUGUUUAGGUGUGUGAGUGGUUUUUCUUGAAUGGUUCUUAAUUGGUUUUCUAGUAAUAAUGUUCGAUGGUGGAGAUUUAGAUCUUUUAGGGGUUACGACAAGGUGGGUCUAUGCUUGCUGGUGGGUAGUUUUAGCUUAGGGUAGUGGUGUUUUAGUAAUAGCAGAAUGUUUCUAUUCCAAUUUUUGAGUUGGUUUUAUUGGCUAUUGAAUAUGAUUGAGGAUAUGAUCACAGUGGUGUGUGAGGGUUGGCUUUCAGGUUAAGAUGAUGGUGGUUGUUGGUAGAGGUAAUGGGUUGGGAUUUUUGUUUGGCAUUGGUGGUGGACGUUUUUUCCAGACCUUUGUUUUGGAUAAAUUAGCCUCAUUCUCUGUUGAUUUUUGCAUAAUUUUAUAUUGUUUUAGGAUCAAGGUAAAGUCUAAGAAAAUAUGUGAUGGACCAGUGGAAAAAUGGGUGCUUAAGCUUGAUGGCAAUUGAAAUUUAGUUGCCAUAAUAGUCAUAGCCCUCAAUUUCACAUUGGAAGAAUGUGUGGAUAAGAAAUGAUAUAUAUGUAAAGACUUAAAUAUAAACUUAUAAUGUACCUUUUGUAAGACAAAAUCAUGAGACCUACGGGUUAAAGUAGACAAUACCUCAUAGAUUGGGUACGAGUCUCUACAAGUGGUAUUAAAGUCAGCUCUGGAGGUACUAGUGAUGUGCCACUAAAGACGUUGGAGUGAAAAAAGAUGUCACGAUCCUAAGAAAGAGUCAUGAAUUCUAUAUCGACUGUAUACUAAAGUUUGUCAUGGGGUAUAAGGGUUCACAUCACUUUCUUUUUGUGAGGUAUCUUUUGUGAGAUAAAACUGUGAGGUUAAGAGAAGUCGAAGUGGAUAAUACUUCACAAAGGUGUGAAUCAUAAUAGUUAAGUUGAUCUGAAACGUUAAAUGAGUCUAUAUCGGGUCCUGAAGUUGCACGAGCCUGAAAGUUGAGUAUCGGCCUGUGACAUAAGGUGGCUGAUGAUAUGUAGGGAUCUAUCCAGCCCAUGUAUCCUACCAACUUUUUGUUUUUUUAUUUUUUAUUUUAUUUAAAUUAAUUAAUUUUUAAUUAAACUAACUAAUUAAUUUUACUUCAUAGAAAAUGGCCUUUAAAUUGAACUUUGGGUCAAUCUUGGAUUCUUGGAUUAUCAAGCUUAACUCAAAUUGAAUUCAACCAUAUGAAUUUUAAAUUAAAUUCAACUCAUUAAUUUUAUCCAUGCAAUCGAACUCAUUUGAAUCCAAAUAAUCAACUUAAAUAAGAUGUCCCAAUGGCUAUGAAUUGAGAUCGAUUUUAAUUAUUUUUUACAAUAUUAAAUAUCUAUAAUAGUUAAAUAAUUCUAAUAUAAUAUUCCUCCAAAAAAUUAAAUUUGUAGCAACCACCUCUUAAUUAUGCUUGUAAAAUUAAAAUACUUACUUUUAGUAUGUCAAAAAUAAUUUUUUUGAAAUUGCAAAAUUUCUCAUACUUUAAUCUACGUUUAGGCUUAAAUCAUUAAUAAGGAAGCAUAUUGAAAAAUGAAAAACUAUAAUUAACAUUAAAUAUCACGUUAGAACCCAAGAAAUCAAAGGUCACUCGGUGAAAAACAUUGAAAUUAAGUUUGAAAAUCGAAGUGGAUGUUCGAUAUGCAAGACUUUUAUGCACACGUUAUAUACUGAAUUUAGCAAGUUUAGUUUACUGCUUUGUAACUACAUAGACUUGAUUGUACUAAUUACACUAUUGUAGACAUUAAUUUACACACUUUAUUAUAUCCAGAUCGAUUUAAGUUUGUUUAAUUUAUAAGUGAAGGAAAAUGAAAUGAUAAAAAAAAGUUUGCUUUUAUAGUAAGUAAAAAAAUCUGACCUGACUUAAAAAUUCAACCGUGUCAAAUUUGAUGUGACCUGCAUCAAUUUUUGACCCAGGAGCCUAACAAUUUGGGCCAUCUUACUUUGGUUGACUUUGGGUUCAAGCCCAAAAGUUUUAUUUGACAUGUUUAUCUUCUUUCUUCUAUUUUGCUAUAUUAUUAUGAGCAUUUGUUCUCCUUAUGUUUUUAAAUACUAUUGAAAAUAACUUUAUUUAUGGAAUAUUGAGGUUGUCAAAAAAUGAUAGUAAAACUUUUAAUAAAUAACAAUAAUAAUAAUUUUAUGAUUUAAAGAUGAUUUUUUGAAGAGGAGAUUUUUAAAAAAUAAAAAUAAAAUAAUAUUUUUAAGUAACAUAUAAUUAUGGAGAUCCUAUCUAGAUAUUAUAUAAGAUUUAAAUAAUUACUUGUACAAAAAAAUAUUAUCUUAAUUUUAAAAAAUGUAUUUAUGAGAACUCCUUGGGUAAAAAAUAUUAAUUUUUAAAAAUUUUGCCAAGGUAUGAGAGAAUUAAAAAAAAACUUCAAUAAAAAAAUUGAUAAAAGAAUAAAAAUUCUUUAUAAUUAAAUAGUUUUAAAUGGAUGAUGAAGAAUGAAAAGAAAUAAAGUUAAAGAAUUAUAUGAUGGAAUUAAAUUGAUCAUUUGCAUAUUUUAGUUUGUAUUUGCAUAUUUUAAUUUGUGUUUGUAUCAUUUGUUUGUUUCACAUUAUAUCAUGCAUUUUAUCAUUAUAAUAUAUAUAUAAAUUAAUAAAUAGUGAUUUUGAAAAGUUGAUUUUAAUAGAAGCCAAUACUCUUAACUAAAAAUAAUUAUUAUGAUCCUACCUAGAUAUUAGAUGUAUUUUCAAUAAUUAUUUUUUAUCAAAAAAUAUUAUAUUAGAUUUUAAGGAUUGUUAUGAGAAUCUCAAGUGAGCAAAUAUUUUUUAAAAUUCCACUUAAAUAUUAAAAAAAUUCAAAAAGUAUUCCAAAAAUAAAAGUUUCAUCGUAUUCCUAAGUACAAGAUUUUAAAAAUAUUUUAUUGCAAAAUAUAAGAAAUUAAAAAAAUUAUUUUAAAUAUUAGAAUUAAAAUUAUUUUUGUCCAAAUAAAAAAAUAACAUAUGAUUAGUUGAUAUCAUUUUUAAAGUAGACAUUAUAAGGUGUUAAUUAUUUGUAAUAUAAUUAUAUUUUCGAGUCUAUUUUCGUAAGCCAAAAAUUGUGUUUUUAAUCAAUUUUAAUUAAUUUAAGAUUUUAUUAAUAUCGUAACGGUUUUGUGUUCGUUCGACGAAUCUGAAAACGAAAUAAAAAAUAACGGAGUUGCCACCAAUCUUUUUUUGGUUAGGUGCGAUUGGUCACCUACUAAAACAUAUCAUUUUAAUAAAGUUUUAAAAUUAAUUAAAAUUUAUUAAAAAAAUAAUUUUACAGUCUGCAAAACCGUCUGGGUUCGGGAGUCGAUUACGCGUGGGAAGAAUUAGCACCACUACAGUGCCCGUUAAAAACAGUACCAAUUAACAAACGUGUUAUCCUUUGAUUUUGAUAAAAAUAGUCCAAUUUUCGGUGUUCAAAAAAUAAUUUCCUUGAUUUUUUAUUUAUUAGAAAAAAAAAUUAUUCUCGAGAAAAAUGAAUUAAAAUCUUUUUAUUGAAAUAAUUCUUAAAAUGUUCCAGUACGUUGGUAACAUUAGAAGAACUUUUUCUCACCUAGAGAUUUCUUAAACAUCGCUUAUCGGAAUACCUUAGAAUCUAAUUCUCGGAGGCUCAAAUUUACUUUUUGUAAAAAAUGUCAUGCAUGCAAUGCAAAAUGUUACUAUGUUGAUGCACACAUUUUAUUUUCCUUUGUUAAAAAUUUUAUUAAUUAUUUUAUUAAUAUUCUUAUUUAAAAUUAUGAAGAAAAAUGAAAUUUUCAUUAUAUUGAAGAUUUUUUUAUAAAUAUUCCAAUACACUAGUAAUAUUUUACAAAAAAUCUUCUCACCUAGAGAUUUCUUAAAAUAUCUCUAUUUAGAAUACUUUUAGAAUUCUAUCAUCGGAUAAAAUUUCUUUUCUUCUCAUUUUUAUUAUUUAUAUUUUUAAUAUAUUAAUCAAUUUUUAUUUAUUACUUAAAAAAAAGAAUUUUUAUUGUAUUGAAAAUUUUUUUAUAAAUACUCCAAUACACUGGUAGUAUUUUAAAAAAAAUAUUCUCACCUAGAGAUUUCGUAAGCAUCACUACUCAGAAUACCUUUGAAUCUCAUCAUCAGAUAAAAAUUUUCUUUUCUUACAUUUUUUAUUAAUUUUUUAUUAAUUAAUUUUUAUCAAUUGUUGUAUAUUUUUCUUUAUUCUAGUUCAUUAAAAUUUUGAUAAGUUUAUGUUUAGUAAUUAUUUUAAAUUAAUUAAAUUAAAAUUAUUUUAUAUUUUCUAUCAUUUAUUUUAUUUUAUAUGAAAAGUUUAUACAAAAAUAAAAUAAAAAUAACAAAAAAAUCAUAAAUUAAAUAAUAGAUAUAUAUAUAUAUAUAAUUUGCGUAAAAAAAAUAAAAGAAAAAAAAAGUUAUGACGAAAAUACCUAAAAUGCACCUGGCCAACAUGGUCAAAAUUCCAAGGCUGCUUAAAUGGCUCAGUCAACUGGCUUGGACCUAUAGUUAAUGCUUAAUCGAUUUGGCUUUGGGUAUAUGGCUCGGCUUGGUGGCUUAGCUACGACUUAAUCAAAACGACGUUGUUUUGAUUUCACUAUAAAUAACCCUCCAAAACACCCCAUCUCUUUCAUUUUUCCUUUCUUCUCCUUCUCUCUUAUUUCUUUCUCUCUCCUUCAAAAUUCUUCUUCUUUCUCCUUGCCAGUUUCCAACGAUCCAGUUGCCAUCGGAUGCCGUCGUCGGUCACCGUUGUCAGUUACCGAUAAAUGUGUCGAAAAAAUUCUAAAAAAAUACCUAAAAAAUUAUUUUCGACCCCGUGAACUCAAAUCCAACCUUCGUUUUACGAGAAACGGCUUCAAACGACAUAGAUCGAGACCCAAAGUUUCAGUUAAAAUAAAAAAUAAUUUCUUUUGUGUUUUUUACGUUGAAAUCCCUACUACCAGGGGUUGUUUUUUUUUUUUUUUUUUUUUGGGAUUGCGUUUUUCUGUUUUGGUGUUGGGGUUGUUUGCAUUUUUAGCUUCUGUGUUUGAAAGGUUUUUUUUUUAUACAAAAUGAGUUGGGGUUUUUUUUGUGAAUGGAUCUUCCUCUAGAAAGGGAAGAAGCUAGAGUCUUUAUAAAAUCGGACGUAUGUUCGGGAAUGUGGUCUAGGAGUCUGUAGGAGUGGCUGUAGGUGUUUGUAGCGCGUGAUUAUAGGGGUGACGAAGGUAUAAGCGUCUCUGAUCUAAUGGGACUGGUCUGGUGGCUAAAUGGCAUUGUUGGGGCUGGCUGCGCCACCAUUUUCAAGCCCUCUUUUUUUUUGUCUCUCUUCUUUUUUUUUUUUAAUUAUUAAUAUUAUUAUUAAUAUUAAACUGGAAAUGAAGACAACAGACCCGAAUAAAAUCGAUGUCUAUAAUUAAAUUUUUUUUUUAAGUAAUCAAUCACACUUAAAAAAAUUGAUGAUAAUUCUUUUAUUUUAAAAUUUUUAAAAUUUUCAUUUGAUGGUUUCAAAAACCGUAAUGACAAUUACUGUAAUUUUCUUUUAUUUCACAUAGGCGAAAGUAACGCUAUUGUCGAGGUCCAAUUCCAUGUGAUUUGCAUCAGGUUUAGCAAAAGAAAAUUUUCUUUUGCAUCCAAAGGAGCCCUUUUUUUAUUUUUCUUCUUUUUUUUUUUUUUUAAUGAUAGGUAGAAAUGAUGCAACUGGUGUGGAUUACAGCAUUCCAUCUUCUAUAAAUAUCAAGCAUGAGGCAGAUACUGGGUG